UACGGAGGGUGCAAGCGUUAUCCGGAUUCACUGGGCUUAAAGGGUGCGUAGGAGGGCAGGUAAGUCAGUGGUGAAAUCCCCGAGCUUAACUUGGGAACUGCCGUUGAUACUAUCUGUCUUGAAUACCGUGGAGGUGAGCGGAAUAUGUCAUGUAGCGGUGAAAUGCUUAGAUAUGACAUAGAACACCAAUUGCGAAGGCAGCUCGCUACACGAAUAUUGACUCUGAGGCACGAAAGCGUGGGGAUCAAACAGG
rnacentral:rRNA from 1 species